rnacentral:tRNA from 1 species
GGGCCUAUAGCUCAGUUGGUUAGAGCGCACCCCUGAUAAGGGUGAGGUGGCUGGUUCGACUCCAGCUAGGCCCACGA